GACGAACGCUGGCGGCGUGCUUAACACAUGCAAGUCGAACGGAAAGGCCCUGCUUUUGUGGGGUGCUCGAGUGGCGAACGGGUGAGUAACACGUGAGUAACCUGCCCUUGACUUUGGGAUAACUUCAGGAAACUGGGGCUAAUACCGGAUAGGAGCUCCUGCUGCAUGGUGGGGGUUGGAAAGUUUCGGCGGUUGGGGAUGGACUCGCGGCUUAUCAGCUUGUUGGUGGGGUAGUGGCUUACCAAGGCUUUGACGGGUAGCCGGCCUGAGAGGGUGACCGGCCACAUUGAAACGUGGAUACGGCCCAGAUCCUUGAGGGGGGAGGGGGUGGGGAAUUUUGAAAAAUGGGCAGAAGCAUGUUAAACCAACGCCGCGUGCGGGAAAACGGCCUUGGGGUGAAAAACCGCUUUUGCCUGUGGCGGCGCAUAAGUGAGUGUAAUGGGAAAAGAACCGCCGGCGAACCACGU
rnacentral:rRNA from 1 species